rnacentral:rRNA from 1 species
UACAGAGGUCUCAAGCGUUGUUCGGAUUCAUUGGGCGUAAAGGGUGCGUAGGCGGCGCGGUAAGUCGGGUGUGAAAUCUUGGAGCUUAACUCCGAAACUGCAUUCGAUACUGCCGUGCUUGAGGACUGGAGAGGAGACUGGAAUUUACGGUGUAGCGGUGAAAUGCGUAGAUAUCGUAAGGAAGACCAGUGGCGAAGGCGGCUACCUGGACAGAAACUGACGCUGAGGCGCGAAAGCUAGGGGAGCAAACAGG